ACAAAAAUAAACCUUUUUAUUUUUUAUUUUUUUAAAGUAAUAAAAUUUAAAAAUUACAUAAAAUUUUUAUUUAAAUUACCAAAUAAAGUACUCAAAUUUUAUUUAAAUUUAAACAUAACAUAUUUUCUUAAAAUUCAAAAGCUUCAAGUACAGUCAAAAUCAUUUUAUUACUAUAACUUAUGUAUGAAUGUUUGCAGUCUAUUGAAUUGAGUGGGCAUUUUUGACUAAUAAAUAUCAACAAAAGACAAAUAGAUAUAUAUAUAUAUAUGUGAAAAUUACGAGAUUUAACUGAUUAAAAUGUGUUUAAAAAUAAUUUUAAAGAAUUUAUAAUUUAAGAUAAAACUUUAAUCAAGUGAUAAAAUUAAUUUUAUCGAACCACAUGUCAUAGUAUGCAAAUUAUAGAUAAGGAUAUUUUUGUUUUUUUAGACUAAAGUAUUCUAGAAUAAGAUGACAUAUUUUAAAUACAGAAAACUAUUUUCAUAUUUUUUUUCUAAUUGAGUUAAUCAAAUAUGAAAAUUUUCCUCACCGAAUUGUAAAAUACGAAAUAAUUUUUAAUCAAAUUAAUAUCUUGUUGACUCGUAAUACAAAUUUAAUUAGAGAUUUAAAUAAGAGUAUAAAUAAUGAACUUUAAUUGUAUUUAAUGUAGAUUUUCCUAAAUUGUUUAUCACUAUUCAAUUACAUCCUUAUGUUGCAAAAAGAAAAAAGAAAAAAGUAUUUAAUUACAUCCCAACUGAUCGGUCGUUUACUUUUUGGCAACAUCUGCAAUUGUUGGACUGAUCAAUCUCAUCAAACAGUCCAAAACUAUUUGGUAACAAGAUCAAGAAAAUAUCGGACCGUUGAUAUAAAAUAGUAGAUAUAUAAUAAGUCUCUAACCAACCGUCCUCCACCACGUGAUCUUCACUAGAUAUGAGACGACUUCGGAUUUUCCAUUUCCUGUUUUUUUUUUUGUUUUUUUCUAUUUUAAGAAAUAAAGAAAUGAAAAGUUAAAAACAGUCAACGUAAUCAAAAUUACGGGUCACAGUUACCAUCUUUACCGUCCAUUUUCACACACGAUGCAUCAAAUCGCACCGCCAGGAACUCGUCUGUCGCAAGAGAAAACGGAGGGGGGACUGUAUCGUUAACAUUAUCAGAGUUGCUUUAUCAGCAUUUGAAACAAGGCACGUGUGAUAUUCCGAAAUAUUGCGGGUCCAUAUGAUGAUUUUUGGAGUUGAGUGAACCCUCAUUUUUAUCAUUUCCGUUUACGAGAAAACGAGACCCAAACAAGUCUCUACGUAUUGUUAUUAUUACACAUCAGAAAAAAAAAUUUCUUCCCCUUUCGCUUCUUCUUCUCUUUCUUUCACUGUCUUCUUUUUUACUUCGAUUUACCGGAACCCUACCUCGAUCCGCGGGAAAAUUCAAGAGUCCGGUUAGUAGCAUAUACUAAUAAACUGUUCAAUUAAGUUACUCUUCCAUUAGCUUAGGUUUUACUCGAGCAAUUUAUGUUUUCCUUUUUCUUCUUGAUUUCUAUCUUUUGGUUUUCUCUUGCUAGUAUUUUAGUUCCUUCUUGCUUUUUGCUAUCAUGUUAUGGUUAAACUGUUGUUUGUUUUGAAUUGGAGGUUUUUUUUUUCUGGUGCAGUAGAUGACCGUACGACUAGGGAAGAGUUGAGGUACGGCUUGGGAUUUCAUCACCGAAUGGAGGGAGGUAGCGUAUCUAGACUUACUUGCUCUGGUAACUGUUCAUAUUCCUACUUGGUUUUUAAAUAAACAAUCUUUUAGGGUUUUUCGUUUUUAAUUAGAGCUUGAAAAUAGUUAUCUUUUUAAGCUGGCAAAUUUAGUGUUAGUCAAAGUUUAGAGUUUUUUUUCCUGCUUAAAUAGAUUGGAACUAAGGUUUUCUGGAUGCUUUUCAAGGUUGUCUGUAGCUCGGUCAAUUAUGUUGAACCAGUUUCUUCUCUUUUAAUAUUAUGUUCUAAUCGUUAAUGUAUCUGAGCUAGAGCUUUUGUUUAAUCCAAUUCGCAGUUGACUAGUUAGUGGCUUGAGCUAGGGUUUUGUUGAAAAUUGGUGGUAUUGAUAUCUGAGUGCAACUAUCUGUUAAGUUCGGGAAGAAAGAUAGAUAUUCAUUUUUAAUUUUAAAGGAUUAUUAUUUUCUAUACUGUAAUGGAGUUUUAAAACUCCAGAGGUGGGUUUAUAAUUGCUGCCUUUCCAUUUACUAAUGCCUUAGUCUGAUACUUUAGUUUGCCUCCUUAUAUAGGAGAGUGAGACUUGGCAAUUAUGUAUACUUGCUUGUAAGAGUUCAAUAAAAUCCUUUUUUUCUUAAUUCUGAUAGCGAAACAGACCUGGUCGUUGAGAUAUUUCUGUUUUUUAACAUUUGUAAACUCAAAUUGAUUUAUGUUUGAAUUUUCACAUUAAAUUAGCAUGUUGACUUCUAUUUUUUUGCUUCUGCAACUUGUAAAGCUGAAUCCUCCAAGCUUUAUAUGCCAAUGAAUGAAAUUCUAUGCGCAGUUGCCAAGAUUCCCUCUACUAAAUAUUUUUGGGAGAAAACAUGCUCAUUUAUUAAAAAAAAACACCCCUAUAGGGUUAAGUUGUUGGCAUGUUCUAGGUUUAGAUUAACCUUUUUUUGGGGCCUGGGUAGUGAACCAUGGAGGUGCAUAAGUUUUAUUUUCCCCUAUGUUUAUGUAAUUUUGGUUCAAUGGUUAAUCUUAGUUUUUUUUUUUUUUUUUUACUUUUUUCUCUUUUUUUGGCGUGAUAUGAAGUUUUAAUUGUUAAAUUUUGCAUUUAUCAUGCAUGUUUACUGCAAUUUUAUAGUUUAUCAGAUUCUAUACCAGGAAACAUUAAAAGAUUUUGUACCCAUUGUUUAUGCAAUUUUACUCUUGUUGCAUGAGCAGUUGGCAUAUUUUCUGUGCUUCCAUUGGUUAAUUAAUCUAGUUGAACUUAAUGUUCAUUAAACUGUAAUUUAGCAUGCAGCGGUAUAGGAAGUACUUAGCUGGGUAAUGUGGGUUGUUCUUUUGGAGAAAGUAUCUAAAUUUUAUUUGUUUCCUAUGCAAUGCGCACUGGACCAGGAUAAUCUUAAAACUCUGAUGCCUCACCACUUUAUCUGUGUACUAUUUGAACUGCAAUUCAACAUCCCAUUUUCUUCAUUAAAUGUUUUCCUGUUGUAGGGAUUCACUCAUGGAUAAUGAUGAAAAUGAUUCCCAAAGCCACAAUCGUCAUUUAGCUGGUGAAGGGAACAAUAAAUUUCCUCCUGUUUUACGCCCUUAUGCUCUCCCAAGAUUUGAUUUUGAUGAUAACCUUCAUGGGCAUUUAAGAUUUGAUAGUUUGGUUGAAACUGAAGUUUUUCUUGGCAUUGAAAGUAGUGAAGAUAAUCAGUGGAUUGAAGAUUUUUCUCGUGGGGGUACUGGGAUUGCAUUUAGUUCAAGUGCAGCGGAAUCUUGUUCAAUUUCUAGGUGCAACAAUGUCUGGUCUGAGGCAGCCUCCUCAGAAUCUGUUGAAAUGCUAUUAAAGUCUGUAGGACAGGACGAAACUAUUCCUGUUCAGACUAUUAGUAAGAAUUCAGAUGCCUGUGAUGAACUGGGCUGCUUAAUAAAUCAGAUGGAGCCUACUUUGAAACAUGGAGAUGGUGGUCUUUCUAAAGUGGGGGAUGACUUACAGCCUGCAUUACAGUCAGGAGAGUUUCCAGGGAAACUUCCUGGGUUGAAAGAUGAUGUAGGAGGAGAUCAUCUGCUGGUUGAAGGUGUUUCUCAAAUGCAUGAAUUUGGCAUAUCUGUUGAUAGCACAUUGGAAGAUCUAAAUACCAGAAAUACUGACUUGCCUGUGACUAAGAGAGAUGAUUCUAAAGAACAUAGUGUUAACGAAAAUCUAGUGGAAGCUUCUGUUGAUCAAUCUGUGGAUGACAGGGAGCAGGAAGAUAAAUGUACUGGUUCACAAGUUGAUGCUGUGAUUCACUCCGUGCAGAACACUUAUGCAAGUAAUGCUUUGAUAGAUAGUCAAGAUACCAUACAUUUAAAACAUGAUCUCAUUGAUGAAAAUGUGGACGGUUCAGCAAGUCAAAAUGUUGACUUGAGCCAAGAAGUUCAAACUGAUGGUCAGAACGUGAGUGAGAAUGCAGUUGUAAGUGUUGCCUUGCUUGCACAGAAGAAUUCAGCCUUGGACGUGCAUUCUAAGGAAGAUGGACAUGCUAUUGGAAACAUUACGACUGCAGGUGAGCCUGUUGAUAGGAUAUCGAAAGGGAAUUCCAACCUCCAUAUGGUGGAAGGGUGCAGCGAGGGCUUGAGGGUAGAAAGUCCUUUGCGGACUAGCAUUUCCGAAGACAUUGUCUUGUCUGAAAGAAAAUUACAUGACAUAUCACCAAUGCCUUUUGUUGGUGAUACUGACCUUAAGGAACAUGGAAGUGAAGUCAGCAAUAUGGAUACUAGAAAUUCUAUGAGUCUAGAGUCAAAUAUGGAUUCAAUGGUGCAGAUAGCAUGUGAUGCUCUUGAGAAGAAGGAUUCGUUAGACAGUGAUAGCCACCCUGAUAUGAAAAUCUUGAGCAGCAAGUCUGAAAAAUCUUUGGUAGUGGAUGAUAAUGGUUCUAAGCGUGAAGGUGAAGGUUCCCACAAUACUUUGGGAACAGAACCUAUGAAAGAAUGUGAAGAAAGUAUAGUCGUUGAACAUAGUGAUGAUUAUAAAUCUGAUCAGACUGUUUCAACUGCUGCAAAUCAGAACACCAAAUUGUCUUCCGAUUCUAGUAACACAGAUUGUGGGGAAGGUGGAUCUGUGCCUGUAAUAAAGGGAGUUGACUUCUCAUCCUCCGGUACAGGUGGCACAGCUGAUGAGUUAGCUUCGAUUUUACAAUCUGAUGUUGCCAUUAGUGGCAAGUCAAGUAUGUAUAUAUUGAAGCAUUAUGUCUGAUAAUUGAGCUUACCAUUCUUUCAUUUUGUCAUCUUUUAUACAUCCUGCGUCAUUUGCUAAAUUGGUGUUCCUGUGUUACAGUGGAGUGUGUUCUUUCGCCUUCUGGUAAGGAUCUUCCUGCUGCUACUGCUGCUAUGUCUGAUCAAAACAAGGUUCAAGUGUCAUCUUCAGAAACAAGUUUCUCAAUCAUGAAUACUUCUGGAAUGACAUCGGAAAAGGGUGCACCUUGUGAGACUAGUGGACAGUCCUCUUGUAGUAAAGUUGAUCAGUCCUUGUCAAUGGAGGGUACUUCUAUUGAUGAGGGCCAACAUGGAGACCAGGCAAUUCAUGGACUGUCAGUGGAGGUUGUAAGGGAUAAGCAUGUAUCAUCUAUCGUCUCUGAUUCAACGGUGAGAGGAACUGAUGGUGCUGAAGCUCAAGUUAUUUCUAAAUCGGGUUCUUCAGAAGCUGCAGGUGACCUUUAAUGAUUAGUAGGGUUUCUUGGUUUACCUAGUAUGGUGCACCUGUUUUACUGUUGUCUGUACCUUGUCAUUAUGGUGGUUUUCCUUGACACGUAGUUCUCUCUUAAUAUAUAGUUUUCUGAUGAUGACUUCUUGGUAAUUAUUUUUCCAAUGAUGAUUUGUUGGUUUUGACCUACUGUUGUUUUUAUUAUGCAUAUCCUUACCUUUCUGUCACUGGAAUCUCCAUAAGAUUAAUGUCUGACAACAAAAAGUUCCCCUCAGGUGCUGUAUCAAUACAACAAAAUAACCAGACAUCGACAAGUUCAUCGCCUUCAACUUCAAAGGAACCUACCUGUGAUUCUGGCCAAAAUCAUCCUGAAGAUAGUGACCCCAAAUUACUUAUAAAAGAGAAGAACAGUGAUCACAUUGCUAUGCAUCAUGUUGAUGGUGAGUUUAUUUUAUCAUUUAAUUUUGAAGUAAUUAGAUAGUUUAAGCCUGUCAUGGUAGAAUUCCUGGUUUACUCUUCUCAGUCUUGUUCUUUAGAUCUGUUAUCUGUCGUUUUGGUGGUUGGUUUGUUUUCCUAUUUCUUUUUUACACCCCCUCCACCUCUUCGAUGUUCUCCCGAGAUGCAUCUUCUUUUGUUUGUAUCUUCUGCUUUUGAAGUUAUGUCAUGUUUAAGGGUUUUCUAUGACCUAUCUACUUGUUUCUAUAAAUGUACACUUUACAAAUUAAAUGCAUGCUUAGCCUCUUUCAUGGCUCUAUUUUCUUUUGAGACCAUUUAAUCAGCUUUCGCUUUCUCCCACUUUAUCUAAUGUUAUUCAUCUGAUGGAUUAUUUUGAUGUUGCAGGCGGUCAUGCAAAGACUGAUAACAGCUCCUUUCCUUCUGCACCCUCAUCUGAAUCUCAAACUAAGAUUCACAUGAUGGGAAGUGGAAGUAGUAGUGCCGAUCUUGACAAUCCUUCAUGUGGCUCUCCUAUUGUCAUUAGAACAUCUGAGCAGUUCCCAAGUAAAAUUGGAAAUGAUGAUUUGAAAGGAUCCGAGGGUCGGAGUGCUUCAAUUUCUGGGGUCAUUAAUGGGGAAGAGAACAAAGACCAAUCUAUUUCUGAGGAUAUGAAAAGAAAUUAUGCAUCUCCUGGAGACAGAACUUUCACCUUUGAGGUACCUCCAUUGGCAGAUUUGUCUGGAAAAGAAGCUGGCAAGAAUUUGCAACUUUUUUCUACCAUGCAACACGACACAAUAUCCUCGGUAAAAUUUGUUUUCCAUAAGUGAUAUUCUUUUGUUAUGUGGACCUUUCUUUUCUCUUAUGUUUUCCUGAUUCUCAUUUCGAGUUGAAUUUUUAAAAGUUUCUUCUGAUGCUAGUACCUUUUUUGUUAUUUAUCCUGGUUAUGCUCACUCUAUCUUGCACAUGCUCUCAACAACAAGAAGGUCAAGGGAACACAAUCAACUGCUAGCUUAAGCAAAGUGGGUACCAAGGCUGCUCAGGAGGUGAGUCAUGCAAAUCUUCAGGCAUCUGAGAGUGAGAAUGUACGUGGUCGCUCCAAAGGGACGUCUGAGGGUAGUGGCUCCAAAGGGACCUCUGAGCGUAGAGCAAGGCGAGUAGGUGGUAAGAGUGCGGGGAAGGAAGCUACUAAAAAGGGAAUUGUUGCAAAAGAAAUGACUCCCGCAAGUCGAUCAAAAAGAAGUGCAUCACUCAGUUCAGCUGGAAUUGGCCAGCUUGUUCAAUCCAAUGAGGUGAAGCACUCUGGACAUAUGGAAGGGGCAACCACGAAGCCAUUUGGUGUUCUUUCUACUUCAGUAUCUAGCCUGCCAGACUUGAAUGCCUCAGCUUCUUCAUCUGCAGUUUUCCACCAGCCUUUUACCGAUUUGCAACAAGUUCAGUUACGUGCUCAGAUUUUUGUAUAUGGAGCUCUGAUGUAAGUCGUUUAUCUUUUCUUUUUUUCAUUUAUAUACAUGCAGAGACAUGUUUUGGCAUUAUAUUGAGUCUUUUUGCAGGGGUUUGGAAAUUAACAUUGAUCAAUAUACAUGGAAUAUGUGUUGAGAUUGUUGUUACAUGGGUUUUGAUAUCAUUGUCAAAUCUAAUUGUCUAGGGUAUUUUCUUUUCUCUUUAGGAUCUUUGAUCAUUUAAGCAUAUCUAUCUAAUUUUUUUGAAUAUUGUUGCUUCAGUCAAGGAACAGCACCUGAUGAGGCUUAUAUGAUAUCAGCAUUUGGUGGACUUGGUUAGGUUUUCUCAUCUCUAACUAUGUUACUCUGUGGCUCUUUAUACAGAUUUACUGACCCCUUUUUUAAAAAAAAUAUCAAAUACAUGCAGAUGGUGGAAGAACCAUGUGGGAGAAUGCAUGGCGAGCAUGUAUAGACAGGGUACAUUCUCAAAAAUCUCAUCUUGUUAGCCCUGAAACUCCGAUGCAGACGCCUUUAGGUAUCUAUCUUGACUUCUUGAAUUUUUCUUCUGAUUCUUCUGUCUAUUAACCUAAUUGAGAUGCUCAGGUGCCAAAAGUUCUGAUCAGUCAGUCAAACGAAAUGCACUUCAGAAUAAGGUUACAUCCUCACCUGUUAGUCGGUCCACCAGCAAGGGUACUCCAACAACAAUUGUAAACCCAAUGGUUCCCCUUUCAUCACCACUUUGGAGUAUUUCUACUCCUUCCUGUGAUGCUCUUCAAUCUACUGGCAUUCCGAGAAGUGCAGUUAUGGAUUAUCAGCAGGCACUUUCUCCAUUGCGUCCUCCACCUAUAAGGAAUUUUGUUGGACAUAAUGCUCCUUGGAUGUCCCAGUCCCCUUUCCGUGUACCCUGGGUUCCACAGACUUCUUCUUUUGAUGCUCGUUUUCCUGUGCUUCCUAUCACAGAAACAGUUAAUUUGACCCCUGCAAGAGAAGCCUCUGUGCCUCAUUCUUCUGCGAUGAAGCAGGCGUCCACAGUUCCUAUGGUCCAGGGUGGCUGUCCUGCUAAUGUUUUUGCUGGGACUCCCCUGCUUGACACAAAAAAGGCAACAGCAACACGUGGUCAGCAUUCUGCUUAUCCAAAGCCCAGAAAGAGGAAAAAGUCUACAGUUUCUGAGGACCCUGGGCAGAUUAAACCGCAUUCUCAAUCAGAGUCCGUUUCAGCUACUGUUGCGACUAGUAAUGUGUCUACACCAGCCGCUAUUACAACCCUUGCCACUGUUGUUUCCAAGUCAUCCACUGACAAAUUCGUUACAUCUGUCCCUGUUGACCAUCUUGAAAACGGUGAACAGGAUUCAGAUCAGAGGGUUGCUCUGUCUGAAGAGACCUUUGGUAAACUCCAGGAGGCUCAAAAGCAGGCGGAAGAUGCUUCUGCUCUUGCUGCAGCUGCUGUUCAUCACAGUCAAGAAAUAUGGAAUCAGUUGGGCAAGCACAAAAAUUCUGGUUUGGAACCAGAUUUUGAAACAGAAUUGACUUCCACUGCUGUGGCAAUAGCAGCAGCUGCUUCUGUUGCAAAGGCUGCAGCUGCAGCUGCCAAGGUUGCCUCAAAUGCUGCAUUACAAGCAAAAUUGAUGGCUGAUGAAGCAUUGGUUUCAAGUGGCUACAAAAAUUCUGUUCCAACUAAUGCAAUUGCUUCUGAUAAUGUCAAGAAGCUUGGCAAGGCUACUCCUGCAUCCAUCUUAAGGGGUGAAAACGCUACUAGUAGUUCAAAUUCCAUCAUAAUUGCUGCAAGGGAAGCUGCUAGGAGGAGGGUAGAAGCUGCAUCAGCUGCCUCAAAGCGAGCUGAAAACAUGGAUGCCAUUGUUAAAGCUGCUGAGCUGGCGGCGGAAGCUGUAUCACAGGCUGGGAAGAUUGUUGCUAUGGGUGAGCCUUUUCCAUUGACUGAAUUGGUAGAAGCUGGUCCUGAGGCAUACUGGAAAGUACCCCAAGCAUCUCCUGAGCCAAAUGGUUCCGUCAGAGAGCACAUAGACAGUGGUCGUGUGGAAGGCCCUACUUCAUCUGCUAGGCUUCCAAAAGAGGUUCAAGUAGAAAAGAGGGAAAAGCAAAGUGUUGAAUAUGGAAUGUCACCAACUCUUAGAGAGAUAGCUAGAGAGUCUAUAGAGGAUCAUUCUAGAUUAACAGGUGGAAUUUUGGGUCCUACUGCAGCAAGCGGAAAGGAUAAAAAGGGACCAAAAGGCCGCAAAGCUUCAGAAAUUGCCAAAACUAAAGGAGUCACAUCUGAAUCCGAAAUUGGGUUUGGACCGCCUUCCGUGAUCACUCAGAGUGAACAUGGGAAAGGAGGGGAAACUUCAAAAAAUAACAAUUUAAGGGAGGGUUCCCGUGUUGAGGUUUGUAACUUUUUAGUCAAAUCUAAGUUGAGCUUUUGAUUUUUAGCUGAUUACUCCAUUAAGUUCUGAAGUUGUAUUUGAUGGAAAUAUGUGGUGUAGUGGUAUUUGAAUUUUAAAAUAGUUUUGAAUGCAGUCCUAAUUACUGCUGGGAAAUGUUGUUGUUGACAUGUCAUUUUUAUUCUCUUACAAUUUUACCAUUUCUUUUUCUCUAGGUACUGAGAGAUGGAGAUGGCUUAAAAGUAGCAUGGUUCCCAGCUGAUAUUCUGGAUUUAAAAGAUGGCAAAGCUUAUGUGUGUUACAACGAACUUCGAUCAGAGGGUGAGCUAUGUGCAUGUUUCAUGUUGAACUAACUAAAUGGUGAUUGCUAGUAAAGAAGAUCUGUCAGACAAUCAUUGUUCUUAAUUUUUAUGCAACUCCUUGAUGUGUAUCCAAUUUCGCUUUCUCUUUUGGGAUUCUUGCAUGAUUAUCUCUAUUCUGAAUCAGGAAUUUGCUUGUGUGAUGUUUGCUUCUGUUGUGGAGAGAAAGUAUUGAUUAAAUGCAGGAGGCUAUCUUACUUCUCUAAUGUACUCACUACGUACCUUGUACAUUGUGAUUUUUGGUUUCUUAUGUAAAAAGUGCUUUCUUGGUAGUGAAAAUUAGACAUUAUGUCUCAUACACUUGUAUUGAGUAUGCCUUAUUAACCAACCUUUUUUGAUUUCUCAUCUUACAGAUGGUGAUAAGCUAAAGGAAUGGGUGGAACUUGAAGGUGAAGGGAAUAGAGCACCCAGGAUACGUACUGUUCGGCCUGUUACAGCCAUGCCAUUUGAAGGAACAAGGAAGAGGCGCAGGGCAGCUAUGGGUGACUAUAAUUGGGCUCCUGGGGAUAGGGUUGAUUCAUGGAUGCAGGAUAGGUAUGCAUGUACUAUUUGCAAUAUCUUCUUUCUUUUCAUUGGAUACCAAUGGUAAUAUUGAAAGUAAUCAAGGAACUAAUAUAUAUAUACACAUGUAUAUAUGCAUCUAUGAGGAAAUAGUGUAGGAGAAUUUGUCAAUAUUUGCUAUCCAACUUGAACACGAGCUAUUUGUUGGGUUUCCCUAAAGCAGUAUUGCAAGAUGAAUUUGUAAGCAUAUAUUAACUCUCACUAACUGUUCUAGAAGCAAUAGUGGAAAGGAUGUAUAAAUAUUGUCUUGUAAAUACUGAGAUAAAUUAAAUCUAUCACAUAGAUUGUGCUUAUCUUGUGGACAAGUCAAUAAAACAACUUAGCAGCAAUCCAGUGUUUAUGAAACCAAUAUUUGUCUUAAGGUGGAGUCCUAAAUUUAUUCAUUUUUUAAUCUGAUAAGUUAUCACUUUUUAACUUUUGAACGAACUGAUGUUCAGCAAAGGUCUUAACUUAAAGUCGUACAAGAUUGCAUUUUAAGCCUUUUUUUUGUGGAUGGCUUUGGAGCACUUUAUGAGUGUAUCUCCUUUUCAUCCUGUAUUUUCUUGUUGUAUUUAGAGAGAAAGAGAAUCUCAAUUGCAUGAAGUUCUCCCAACAUUAGUGUCAAGAAAUGAACCACUGUUUGAAACUUUAUUUGUUAUUUGCCUUUCAGCUGGUGGGAGGGAGUUGUCACUGAGAAGAGCCAGACGGAUGAAACAUCAUUUACUGUUCACUUUCCUGGUAUGUGCGUAUUUACGACACUUUUAAACGAAUUUGGUUGUAAUGUGCUUAGUAUUAAAGUCAAUGUGGCUUGUUCAUUGAGAAAUAAUUAAGGCUUUUUCAUUAUAUUUAUUAAAGCUCGAGGUGAAACAUCUGUUGUCAAAGCAUGGCUUCUUCGUCCUUCUCUGAUUUGGAAGAAUGGUAGUUGGGUUGAAGGGUCCAGUUUUCAGGAUAAUAAUGGCUCUUCCCACGAGGUGAUAUGUUAGCUUGUAUUUAUGAUUGAUGUUUUCUCUGGUGAUACUUUAAUUGCUUCUUUAUACUAAGUAAUUGAUCUGUUUUUCAGGGUGAUACCCCUCAGGAAAAGCGACCUAGGAUAGGUGGUCCUGUUGUAGAAGGCAGAGGGGAAGAUAAGCUCACAAAAAGUUUAGACCUUAAGGAGUCUUGGAAACCUGGUGACAUGAGAUUGCUGGAUUUAUCUGACAACGAAAAAAUAUUUAAUAUUGGUAGAAGCACCAGAGAUGAGAAUAAGCCUGGUUCACUCAAAAUGGUACGUACUGGUUUAAAGAAGGAAGGAUCAAGAGUUAUUUUUGGUGUUCCUAAGCCAGGAAAGAAGAGAAAGUUUAUGGAAGUAAGCAAACAUUAUGUUGCAGAUCAGAGUGGUAAGACUCAUGAAAUAAGUGAUUCAGCUAAGUUUUCAAAAUAUUUGAUGCCUCAAGGAUCUGAGCCCCGUGAAAUGAAAAAUAAAAUUGAACCAAAGGAUAAACGAGCAGCUGUAUAUAGGCCUAAGGUUCUCAAGUCUGGAAAACCACCUAGUGUUUCUAGUAGAACUAUUCAUAAGGACAGCUUAUCAAACACUCUGGUUUCUGAACCCGGUGAUUCUGCAGCUGCAGAUGUAAGCCAUGCGGAGAAUAUAUCAGGAAAGCAUAACAUCAUGGAGUUUAGAUCAUUUUCAAGUUCUGAUGGAGCAGCAAAAGGCCCGGUCUUAUUUUCUUCUGUGGCUUUCUCAUCAGAUGCUCCCCCAAAGAAAAAUUCAGCAUCAAAUGCUAAAUCUGAACGGGUUAGCAAACCGAAACUUGGACCAGCUUCUGGGAAGUUGGCCAAAAUUGAGGAGGAAAAAGGCUCCAAUGACAAUUCAAUGAAAACAGUAUCUGAAGUUGAACCUCGGAGAUCUAAUCGGAGGAUUCAACCAACGUCAAGAGUAAGUAAACCGAUAAGGUUGUUUCUUCUUUGAUAAGUUGGGAUAUUACGAAAAUAAUUCUUAUACUAUUUCAGUGUUGUAUUUGUGGAAAAUUAAUUAAAAGACUUGUUUGCUUGUCCGUUAUGUGCCACUGUAAACCUUGAGUAAUUCUAUGCUAAAUUCUUUGCUUGAUAAAGAAAGGGGUGAAGGAAAACUUGUUAUUAUCACUAGCAGCAAACACAUUGUUGACUUUGUCCCUUAUAUUUUGAUUUGAUCAGCUUAUGGAUCUUGUUUGUUGUCUACAGCUCUUGGAAGGCCUACAAAGCUCAUUGAUCAUCUCAAAAAUUCCUUCUGUUUCGCAUGACAGAAGUCACAAAAGUCAAAACAGGAGUAGUAGAGGUGAACCUUAAAUUUCGUGGUAUUCAUGAAGUAAUGUUGCUGUUUUUUUCCCUUGUUGGUUGCCGAACCGAACAUGUUGCUGUUCAUGUAGCAUAACUGUGGUUUAACUCUUUUAACAGGAAAUAACCAAGGGUGAGAGGGAGGGAGGUUGUUUUGCAACUUCUGAAUCCAGUGUCAACAACCGGUGUAGCUUUGUGUAAAUUACGAUUAGAGAGAAAAGCUGGGAAAGAAAAUGGCUUCUUGGGCAUUUGCGAUGUAGCUGUAUAACUGAUUUUUAGGUUUCCGUUAACAAUUAUAAUUAUAACCUUAUCUUUCUUGGCCAUGUCUUUCUCUCUAGGUUGUUGUAUAUGGAACUCUUUCCAUGUAGUUUGGCUUGACAUUUUGCAGAGCAGCAUUGCCAACUGAUCAAUCCUUUGUUAUUCCAGCGCUUCAAGUUGAUCUUCGGGCUGAUGUUUCUUUUUGUUUGUUGCUAUUCCUAAGGUGCAAAACAAAUGAGAAAAAUAAGUUUACUUGAAGACACUUCAGUAGACAGAUUCUAGCCUCAACGAUCAUUCUGCCAAAGCAUUAUCUUUAAUCAUGAUAAUAUUGGAGAAUUAAGAGAAUGAUGAACACAUGCAAAGGCCAAUAUGGGUUGGCUUAGUUAAAGUAUUCAUUAUCAUACUUUUACAAGUGUCCAAGUUUGAGUCUUAGUUGGCUUGCUAAAAGGUUCACACACGAAAAGAGAAUAAAAGAGACGUAUAGUUAUUAUGCAAGUAUUUAUGUGAUACAAUCAAUAAUGGAAUAAGAUAGUGAAAUAAGAAAGCGAUAUAAAAUGAUCUAAUACCUUUCGGUCACGAAGCAAAGAUUACAAAGAAACCUUUGAGCGGGCACCUAAUUGGCUUUUAAAAGCUACAAAGUAGAUCUAACAACCGACAUAAUAAAUAAAUAAACAAACAAGUGAAGCAGCUAACACAAGUUCAGGUGAAAGGGACUAGUACGGGCAUGUCUACAAAUGGCGGUUGCUGGAUCCUUUUGGCUGCCAUGGUAGCUAAUCUGUCCACUUCCUGUUGAUUCCAGUGCUUAUGUAAAAUGCUAUUUAUAGGUUAAAAUUAUUUGUCUCUCUCUCUAUGUAUUUCUAAUAGAGAAAGCGACUUGCAUUAUGCAAUGUUUUUCGCUCUGAACUGAGAUCGUUGGAUAGUAUUAUUAUAUGUCACGGUAAGCAGUCGGAUAAAUUGGCCGAGACCAGAGUACGCGCCAUGAGCCAUCUUAGUAUAUAAAGUUAGCGAGCAGAGAGACGAAUAUUUUUAAAUGCCCCAAGUUGGCUUAUGUUCAAGGCAUGAAAAAGAACUGCAAAAGAAAAUAGGUCCACAAUCAACGAGUAUUGGUGAAUGAAUUUGAUCAUUAACACUAGAAUAAAUAUAGCCCACCUAGCACAGCAAGCUCAGCCAUCGUACGUUCAUCAUAACAGUUUACUAGCUACAAUAACUAUUUUAGUGUUUUACCUAACCGAAACAUAUCAUAUAUAUAUAUAAAUCAAAAGUUGAAUUUUCGUAAAAUCUUCCCUUUCUCUGUACAAAUUUUGUUUUUUCUUCAUGGAUUCAAACAGAGAAAAUGAGAAGAAACAAAAGAAGCUUCCCUUACCGAGCUUUCGGCUCAAACAUCAAGUUCUAUCAAGUUUUCUGCAGGCUUAACAAGAGAUGGCAUUUAAGUCAGCAGGGCAGAUGCAUCACUAGGUUAGAUGGAUCUUUGUCAAUCAAUAGAAAAAACUCCUUAAAUCAGCCUGUAGCAUUAGCAUCUUCCUUUCCCCUUAGGCUUCAUUAUCCUUGGCUCCCAAAACCGGUUCUUCUUCCUUGCUUCUCUCCCUCAAUCCUUGAUUUCCUUGUUCUGACCGAGGAUCUCCCCUUUUGUUGUCUACAACAUCACUUAGUGGUCUCUCACAGAUACAAGAAUAUGGAUAUUCAUGAAAUUCACCACGUCCAGGUCUCAUCUCAUCUGGCUCUCCCAUGAAUCCUUUUUGAAAUGCCUUCACCUUUCUGGCGAAGGUAUCCCAAUCCAUCUCAUCCCUUUCCAUCAUCAAAGGACCAAGCCUCUUCGCAUUUGGUCUUACAGUCCUCUUGUGCCCCAUGUACCUCCUUCAAAUCCCAAUAAGCAAUCAUGAAUAGUUAAGUAAAGUCCAGCGAGCAACAUCACUACGCUAAAUAUGUAAUAAAUGCUGAAGAUGUAAAUGCAAAGAAAUAAAAAAGGAAAGCACAUAUGGAGCCUAUACUAAGCAAUUUGAUACCUGCACAUCAUACAAAAUUAAGUGAAUUUAUUUUUAAAAAAUUUUAGAUUAUAUGUAACUUUUAACAUCUAAUCUAACACAUGGCCAUCAAAGAAUUUCAUUUUUUUUAUUAUGAUUUCGAUCCCCAUACCUAUGUUACAGGUAUGCAAAUUAACACAUGGUCAUCUUAAGAGCAUUACUCUUGCUCAUAGUUGACGUCAUUCAAGCUUGGUUUAAAUUUCAUGUCUUCAUUAAAUUAACUCAACAGUUCAGUUUCUAGAUUAACUUAAAAGUUAGCACUAUAUGGAAGAUAUGGGGCUGUAGCAGUUGAUACAAGAAAUAACUGCACUGCUCACCUUCGACCUGCAAGAAUCUUGGCCAUAUUUCCAUUAUUAUUGGUGACGAAAACAUCACUUUCAUCACAAACAAUGUAGUCAAUGGCAGCAAGGCGAGAAGAGAAUGGAAGAAAUGGUUUUAUGUCUUCAUUAGCAAGCAUCUCUUUCGUAUAAAAGUUUGGAAAGAGAUCUCUUAGUGGUCGAAGCGUCUCUUCUCCACCAUAUAUUUCUCCAGAUGCGACAUAGAUGUACGAGUCAUUUGCAAAACCAAGUGCCCUCAGCAUCAAUCCUACUUCAUGAGGAGUAAGUGGACAUCUACCUCGCCUCCUCUCUUCAUCAGCAUCUACAUCCUGCAACAAUACAAGGAUGAGUGCAACUUUACUAGAUUCCAGGAUGCAAAAGAAAAGAAAAAGCAUUAGUACUCAUACUAAAAACAUUGUCUUAUGCUGUAUAUUAAAGAAGGAACUGAUUAAGGAGUCAAAAAAGAUGAUAUCUCACUGUCAAUGUUUCCCAUCUCUUUCGUAUCUCGCCAAGCUCAUUCCUCUCCUUGUCACCGCCACCAAAGUAACAACCAGAAAAUGCAAGCAUAUCCAGUUCAAAUCUGUAAUUAAAAGAGUUUGACUCAUACAAGGAAAAUAGGUCUUCACAGAGUUCAAAAUCAUACUUCAGAAUGUUUCUCCAUGCAUAUGCAUAUGAGCCAAUGUGCCGUUAUUAAAUAUACACACUCAGAUUUGAAGUGCUGGAGCCGUUGAUGCAGAAAGUAGUUGUUGGAUGCAAAGUCAAAAACACAAUGGUUAAAUAAACUCACUGAAGUUAUAUGCAUUUCCAAAAUUUUGAGGAUUUGGCACUUAAGUGAAAGGCAUUCUAUACUGUCACUAGAUUGUCUGGUUUGAAGUCAUAGAGAUAACCACAUGAAAUUAAAGGGAUUUCGAAAUAAGUGUAAUCAUGCUCAUUCCAAAGUGUGAUGAGUUAUUUUGCAGAUAUUCCCAUGGAUUACUGACAAAACCCAAUUUCGGGAGGCACAUCUCAUCUGGUUACAAUGUCAAAGUUCCUUUCGCUAUGCACAUAAAUUAAAAAGCUAAAUUCUACCUUUCUAGAAUUCAGAACAAACCUCAAAUGGACUGCAAUAAAACGGUUUGCCAUUGCACGCAUUCUCGUUACAAGUUUCUGCCCAAGUUCUUGAAUAGGUUUUGUAAAUCUUAAAGCAUGAUAAUUAGCCCGGCAACGCAACUUUUGUAGCUCAUCAUCGAUGUUGUUGGCCAGUCUGUAAUCAAACUUUGUCAGUUGCAGGACCUACAAAAUUUUCAGAGUGUUAAACUUAAAAGCUGCAGGCCCACAUGAAAACCAAAAUAUACUAGAAAAUGUCUAAUAAGAAUAUUCUACUAACAUGGUGCUUGGAUUGGAGAGAUACAAAUAAGAAAAAGAACACUCUUCCCUUUGAACCACAAAGACAGGAGAGAGAGGGAAAAGGGAAUUGAAGUUAACAACUUUUUGUUUGAUCUCUUAUUGACUCAAAGACACAACAAGUGUUGACAAUUGGAAUUAAAUACAUUUAAUUUUUACAACAGGUACACAAUUUAUGGAUUUAUAUAGACAAUUGAAAAAGCAAACUAGAAACAGAAAGUUCAAUCAUAACCAAAAUAGGAUUAGUGAUAUAGUAUCUGAAAGUGAUCUUACAGAUCUUCUUUGAAGUAUUGGCAGAACUUGAUCUAGAUAAUAUUCUGGAGGGGAUUUCCUUGGGACACGCAUCGUGUACGGAGGUUUAUCCAUUGAUCGCAUGAACUUAUCAGGAACUCUUCUGACAAUAGUAACAUCUUUUGCAAGGUAAGAAAUGAACCAGUUGACAUCGAAAAUGUUAGCAAAGUCACUGCAUGUCAGGCAAAAAAAAAAAAAAAACACUUAACAAGGCAAAUGAAGCGAAAGGAAGAUGUCACUUUUGCACUAAUUCUAAUAAACUGGUUCAACUUACCUAUCAUCCUUCCAAUACGAACGAUGAUCCAAUUCAGGUAUGACUAAGGUUGCAUUCAGAAUCCGUGCAACAACUACAGCAUCUGAUAUCUACAUGCCAGAAGCAAAUUAUUAUCUAUAAAGAAAUAAAUUUAGUAGGAUUCCCCCGUCUUAGAUGCACAUCAAAACUAAAUUAGUUCGAGUGAUCUAAAGCAAAACUUAUUGGUUCAAUAUACAUAAAGCAGGAGCAACAGCACUCAGCAGAUACUCAUAGAUAAGUUACAUUUGCCAUUGGUGCAAUUACAAGAUCUUCCAUUAGGAUAUUACCAAAAAAAUAUAACAUAAUGUACGUUUCGACUUACUCCUGUUCUCUGUUGAUUCAAUCCUCCACUUGCUGCAAUAAGCAAAUAACCAUUUGAUGAUCGCUCACGUAUAGCAACUGGCAUAAAUGAAGAAUCAGCGAACUUGAGGGACUGGUUUGGUGAAACUUAAAUAAAUAAAAAGUGGAGAAUGUACUCUUUUCUAAAUGGUAAAACAGAUGAUACAGGACAUCAAGUAUUUAGAACCACUUUACUAAAAACUUAUGUUUAAAAAAUAAAUUAUUAGCAAACUGCUUGGACUGAGUUCAUUCCAUCUGAUUCAAUUACUGUGAGAAAUCAUAGAUAAUCUAGUUUUAACCUACAUCUAAAGCAACAACUUUGUAUGAAUUGAUGAUAUGUUAUGAAUUAAAUACAGGAAACGAGCAUUGAAUUACAGCUAAAAAAACAUAUUUUAUGAUCAGAGUAAAAAAUCCUGUUAAGAUUGAAAUUUCCUAAUGAUCCAGUUUCUAAAACCAAAAUGCGUUUGAAAUUAAUAAAUACAAGAACGUACGAGGAAAACUACGACUUCUUUUGCUGCAUCCAUAGAAGUAUUUUGCAUAAUCAGAUUGCCAUAUAUCAAUCGGUCCUUUAUUAAUUCCCUCCUACAGCAUUUGCAACAAAACCAGCGUCAUAAAAUAUGUCCAAAAAAUAAACUUCAAAUUUUUAAAUACAUAAAUGAAACUAAAGUUUCCUUUUUUUCCCUACCAAUUUGAAAUAGGAUCUUCGUUUCAUAAGUCGCUGGGAGUACCACUCGAGAUCAGAUGCCACAUGUCCGGUGAAGAGCGAGAUCAUGCCUAAGCAGAAAAGCAUCAAGCCGCAGAUGAGCGACCAUGAGAUCGGCUUCCUCGGCUGCGCCGCAGACGAUCGCCACUUACAACACUCAGGCUUGUGGCUUAAAAGGCUGCCGCCUGGAUGCUGUAACAGCGCCAGUUUGUCCGACAUCACGCUAAACUCCACGCCUUAGCUACGCCCAUCACGGACUCAACAACAACAAAAGCAACCGCCGCGACUCACCCUUUAACUUCAUCACUUAUUUACGCCAAAUGCCACUCCCAAUGAUUUUACCACACCAUCAAAAGAAUACAAAACCGACGGAAUGUAUAACUGUAAAAAUUGCGAAUGCAGAAGCUAAAAUUCAAAGAAUAAUUAGGGCUUUUCUUCUUCCUUUCUAGCGAUCCACACUCUCAAAGCUUUCCGAAACGCGGCAGACUUUGGAUGUUCCCUUUUUUUUGUUCACACAAGAAAAAAAAAAGUGAAGAUUGAAGAGAGAGAAAGGUUAAGCUUUUGUUUUAAAUAUUAAAAUGAAUAAAUUAUUAUAAAAAAUGCAAAAUUGAAGAUUAAGAUUUUAGAGACAUAGGAGAGCUGCUUGGCUUCACUUCACUCCGUUGUAUAGGAAUGAUUGAUAACAACGGUUUUAUAUCUGUUUAUGCCUUUAUGGAAAAAUAUUGGUGAAGAAGAUGGUCAAUUCUGUAAUAACCCUUCAUUUUUAAGGUUAAUAACUUGUAUCUUACAUCGAUGUGUGUUCUUUUACACCGAUGUUUAUAACUUAUAAGAUCCUUUUUAAGACAAUAAUAUUGUCUCCUCCAAAUUUUUUUAAGCUAUAUCCUUCUUUUUAAUUACAAUUUCCAGAUCCAAAUUUAUUUUAAUGAAAUAAAAAUAUUUGAAAUUUAAUUUUUGUUAGAAAUUAACAUGAAUAAUGGUAACAUAGAACGGUUGCAAAAAAUAAAGAAAAAGGAAAAAUAAAACAUACCGAUUUUAUAUGAAAAUUUUUUCGAGAAAAAAUAUAGACAGAGGAGAAAGUCCACUAAAGUUGAAAAUUAGACGAUAGGAGAAGAGUUACGAUUACAUCUAUUUAAAGAUUAAAAAACAUUAUUCUAAGUAAAAUCAAAUAGAAGAAGUGUAGUCCAAUACAGAUUCUUUUUGUAUUAUUUCUUUAACAAAAAUUUAAAUCAUACAACUCUAAUCAUUUUUAUUUUAGAAUUGUAUUUUAUUUAUUAUUUUGAUUUUCACUUUGCUUUUUUAAAAUAGUACUAAAGAAUCUUACAAUUUCAUAUUAGUAGUUAGGUGAGUAUUUUUUUAUUUUAAAAAUAUUAUAUAAUUCAAUUUAAUAGUAUAUUUCAAUUAUUAAAUAAAAAAUACUGAAAUUUUAAAAUUAAAAAUAUAAAAAUCAAAUUUUAAAUGGACGAAAAGUACAAAAAUUUAGAAGCAUAAUUAGAUCUAAUUUCCAUUAAUCAUCGGUAAGGUAUGCAGAAAAUAUUAAAUUCGGAUAAAAAAUGUAAUAUGAUAGGAAACCUGAUUAACCCAUGGUUAAAUGGUUGAUUAAGUACGUACCCUACAAUUUAAGAACAUAAAUUAUCUGUAUUUGUUGCCAAACUUCUAAUUUGGUUUAUGUUAUUUUAUAAGUAAAAAAAUAUGAGAGGCUUUAAUUGGUUGAUUGAAAACAUCAACAAAUGAAAACAACAGCUAAAAGACAUUAUUUUUUUGAUUUAAUAAUUACUUACAAUACUAAAUAAUUUUAGAAAAGAUAAAUUAUGAAUGGAAGAAAACAUCAAAGAAGGUGGGUUAUUUUCACUCUGUCAGUCUUUUUUUUUUUUUUUUGUCCUUCCACUUUCUGGCUAAGAUGAAGAGUUACCAUUGUUGUAUAGUAAAACAGUAAAAAAGCAUUAUCAGCAUCACAUAUCAGCCCUGGAUUAUUGACAACAAUAAUUUGGAGAUAUUUGAAGAAAAUGAAUUAUGGAACCCACAUUCAAAAUAUACUCAGUUUCAACUUAUUUUGGGGUAUUUUUGUUUUGGUUCCCUCCUUAAAGAUGCCACCAUAGAGUGUGCUUUGAAUCAUCCAAAAGCCUGUAGGAAGGCCUAAGAAGAAAGGGGUGGUCCUAGAUUUUUUCUAUUUCGGUACCACCAAUUUAUUUCAUCAUCAUCAGAACCUGAGGAAACCCUAUAAAUAUGCCUUGUUACUACAUGUAGAUCUAAGUCUCUUGUUUUGACAGCAAUAGAAUGGGAGCGGGGGAUUGCCAUGGCCCCUUCACAUUCAAUGAAACCAAUAAUUCAUAUCUGCUUCAACUGAAACCUAUUUUCAAUGUCUACAAAUUUCAUUAUAUAUUAGUUUAUUUGGAGCUGGAUCAAGUAGUAUUUAAUUUCAAAAAGGAUUUUUGAAUUCAACAUCUAAUCUAUUUGGAUCCGAUCCUCUUUAUUGGAAGAAGAAGAAGAAAACAAUGUCAUUGUAGUAAACAGGGUUUAAGCUUUGAGAAUAAUAAAAAAUAAAGGGACCCAUAUGUAUUGAUUACAUUCCCACUUAACUCAAGAAAUUGAUUUGUCUCGACAAAAGCUAAAAAGCCUUCAUGAAAUCAUGAUCUAUUUAAAAACGACAUUUUUUUAUCAACUAAUCAUGUUGGUUGCUGCUGUCAUUGUUAAAACUAGAAGUAAAAAAUAAAGAGUGUUUUGAGCUGCACGUGAGACAAUUUCAUGACAGUUUUGCAUCCAAUAUCUACAACUUUAGCUGGUGAAAACUAAAAAGAAACCGACUUAUGUCUCUACUACAUUUCUCUUGGCUUACUUGUAUGCGACCAUCAUUUUCCCUUAUCAUCUUUUUAACUUACUCCCUCAGCUUUGUAAACCUUUCUCCAUUACCCUAAAAUGUUAUUUCAAAUUACUCUCGGCUUCCUUCAAGAUGAACAUGAGUUUGGAGCAUUAGCGUUUGUACUUCAAUAUGCCCUCCGAUGUCAAAUCGGUUCAAGGGCUUUGUAAUAAAGAAAAGCAAAACAAAUAAGGAUGCAUAAAAUGAAGAUGAGAUAAAAGAAUGAGGUCAUCGCGGAUAGGAGUAAGCAAAACUCGAUUCGAUUUGAAAAAAUCGAAAACGUUUUCGAAUUAAUCGAAUCAAGUUAUUCGAAUCAACUCGAAUAACACGAUUUGAGUUUCACAAUUCGAAUAAUUUGAAUGCUCUUUUGAUCCCUAUCAAUUUUGAAAAUAAGUAAAUUGGUCUUUCACAACAAAAAUUACAAAAAAUAUAUUUAAAUUAUUUUUUAAAAAUUCAAAAAAUAUAUAAAUUUUUAAAUUUUAUAUUUUUAAAAAAAAUUUAAAAAUUCUUAAAAGAAUACAUUAAAAAGUUGAAAUUUUAAAAUUUUCUAAAAUAAUAAUUUUUGGACUUAAUUAAUAAUUCAAAUAUAUUACACUCAAGCAUUUUUUUUAAAUAUAUAUGGUUUCAAAUUUAUGUGGUCUAACAUGAAACUAGUUAUACUGUAACAAUAUUUUUAUUUGACAUAUUUUAUUUUUUUUAAUUUAACUCGAACAAUUUCACCCAAAUCGAAUUUCAUUUCACUCUGCUCGAUUCGGAAAAAAUUCAAAUUAAGUUAGGAUGACAAAAUAGGACUUGUGAACUCAAUUGACUCAAAAUUUUUUUACUCGAUUCGAUCGAACGCUCAACCUUACUCGCGGAGGGAUAAUACAUUUACCCAUUGUUUAUUGUUGGGUCGUAAGAGUAGCUAGACAUUGUACAAAAUCGGAUUGGGUUUGUACUAGGCAAGGACAAAGAUAAGGGUUCACGCAAUAGUAACAAUAAAUUUGUCAUUUAAUCCCUUAAAUUUUAAUGAAAUUACAUGUUAUUAUAAUAGUAAAAUUACACUUUCACCUCUCAAUAAUUAAUGAUUUAUCUCUCACCUUCUAUAACAAUUUUUUAACUUCAUCUUUAAUACUUAAAGAACUGAUUUUUAUAUUAUUAUAGCAUAACAAACUCCAUUCAAUCUUUUUUUUUGGGGGGGGGGGGUUCCUAUAUAAUCGAACUUAUAAGCCUUUUUAAUUAACAUAAGAGCACUUAUCAGAGCCAUGCCAUAAUAGGGGGGGAAGGCUGAUCAAAUGUCAACUAUAUUGGUAGACAAAUCGUGCAUGCAAUUUAAAUGCUCCGAUGCCUCACUUAUUAUAACUAAUAUCAUAUAUAGUAUUGAGUAAAAAGAGCCAUAUGAAGCUGAAUAAUUAAUUAAGAACAGCGAUGUAGGAACGCACGUGAUCAGUGAUAACAUGAGAUGAAUGAAUUGGUUGUCAAAAGAAUUUAAUUACAAAUAGCAAUGUUAACUCACUACGUAAACACUACACAUGCAAUGGAAAUCCUAUAAAACCGCUAAAGAUACUCGGCCAACACUCGAAGCACCCUUAGAUAUAAUAGGGUUGACCAAAUAUGUACGUGUGUGUGUCAGAGAUGUGGCUGGGAAGGGGAAAUUGUCAACCGAAGGUGAUGGAUUGGAUCAUGGAGAGUAGCGGAGUUUCAAUGGCGCUGCUUAGGUUCAUGGGUAACAUUCAAAGUCCCCAUUGGGAGUGAAUAAAGGGAAAGAAAGAGAGAUUGAUUUAAUUAAUUAAAGGUGUAGUUGCCUUAUUUUGAUGAUUAUGUCUUAAAAUAAGGUUUUUAAGUUAUGAUUAAAGGAGGCUUACUUGAAUCAUGAUGUUUUUUGACUACUGCUACUGAUUUUUUUUGGUAAAUUACAGCAAUUGUCUUUGACAUUAGAUUAAAAUUACAUUUCAGUCAUUUAACUUUUAAAAGUUACAUAAUUAUCAUUAAAGUUAUUAAAAUGUUAUAUUUUGGUCACUCAUCCAUUAACUUCCAUUAAAAGGAUGACGUGACAAGUUAGUUUAAAAGGUUAAUAACUAGUUUAGCCCUUGAACUAUAACUAAAAUAUCAUUUUGAUACUUCUAAUUUUUUUCUUAAUAAUAAUUCUAAACAAUUUAAAGAGUAAACUAUUCAGAUAGUCACUUAAGUUUUAAUGCGUUCCUAUUUUGGUUGCUGAAUUUUUUUGUUAAUUUAGUCACUUUCGUUAAAUUAAUUGUCAUUUUUAGUCAUUUCAUCAUUAAAAUGCCUUGAUCACUAAACGGAAUGAUGAUGUGGUAAUCUUUUGAUUGGUAUAAUAAUAAAUUUAGCCAUUAACACUUUACACAGUCUGUCAAGUUACUCCUAAAUAUAAAAGAAUUCAACAAAUUUAACUCUCAAUGUUUGCAUAUUUUGUCAAUUUCGUCCAAAUUCAAAAUAAUUAUAAUUUUAAAAACUUGAAAAUAUGUAUAAUUUAUUUUAAAAAAACAUAAAACAUAAAAUAUUAAUAUAUAUUAAUAUAUAAAAAAGUAUACAAGAUGCCUCGGUAAGUUUUCCAACACAUGCCAUAAAGAGAAACAACAGCGUGUAGCAGGAAAUACAAUAGUCACAACUGCUUUUAUGGCAUUGUUUUGAUCAGUAAGCAUCACUAGCGGAGCCUGUUCCCUCAUUGCUAUAAACCAAGUUUGCAUCAGCCAAAUAAAAGUAUAAAUCGUUUCAUCUGCAAUCAAAGCGCAACCAAAUAAUUCUUUUAAAUUUUUAAAUUUUUUAUAAUAAAUUAUAUAUAUUUUAGUUUUAAAAUUAUAGUUUUUUGAACUUGGACUAAAUUGACAAAAUGUGCAAGCAUUAAGGGUUAAAUUUGUUAAAUUUUUUUAGAAUUAAGACUAACUUGAAAGAAUGUGUAAAGUAUUAAGGGUUAAAUUUGUUAUUAUAUCAAUCAAAAGACUAAAACAUCAACAUUUUGUUCAGUGACUAAGGCAUUUUAACAAUGGAGUGACUAAAAAUAACAAUUAAUCUAACGAAAAUGACUAAAUUAACAAAAAAAAAUUUAGAGACCAGAAUAGGAACGCAUUAAAACUUGAGUGGCUAUCUGAAUAGUUUACCCUUUAAAUUUUUUAGAAUUAUUAAGAAAAUUUUAAAAAAUAUCAAAUUAAUAUUUUAAUUAUAGUUCAGGGGCUAAAUUAAUUAUUAACUCUUUAAAUUAACAUGCCACGUUAUCCUCUCAACAAAAGUUAAUGAAUGAUUGAUCAAAAUGUAAUAUUUCGAUCAUUUUAAUGAUAAUUAUGUAACUUUUGAAAGGUGACUAACAAAAAUGUAAUUUUGAUCAGGGAAAAUAGAUAUAGUUUUGCCCUUUUUUUGGUUUGAUCCUAGAGCUAUCGGUCAGUGGACUUUACACUAAAGCUGUUGAUAUGAAAAGAGUUUUAAAUUCAUAUUUAAUAAGAUGGGUAAUAUUUUAAUUUUAAAAACUUAAAUAUCUGUUUUUCUUUUUCAAAACUGGUUUUUUUUCUAAGACAAACCAUGAUAUUUCAUAUAAAAACAAAUGUUUUGAAGGUCCGGCAUUUUUUUCAUUAUUUUUUAUAUACUAUUAUUCGAUAAAAAUUUAAUUAUUAUUUACAAAUAUGGCUCUCAAGAUUAAUAAAAAAAAAUUGUACAUAUAGGAAUUUUAGUUAUUAUUUAAUCAAUAAGAAUUAUAACAUAGAACGAAGGUAAAGCAUUAGAUUUAAUUUAUUGCACCUAUUUUCCAUUAUUGACGUUAGUUGUAUAUUUUCCUUCGUUUUUUUUUUCAAUCUAAUUGACCUAAAAUAAUUAAUUAUUUACUAAAAUAAUUUAAGUCGAUAUUUAUGUAUGAAAAUGGCUUGUUCUCCAUAGUGUCUGUUGGUGUCGCUUGACACAUCGGCGGCAUUAUCCCUCAAUAAUGACUCAAUUAUUGGUUUUUUUUAAAAUAUUAUUUUUGGAUAUCGCCGCUGUGCCAUGCGACACUUAUAUUUAUUUUUUAAAAUAUUCGUAAAAAAUAUGGGUAUUCAAGGAGGAAAAAAAGAAAUUUUGUUUUAAAAAAUUCUUUUUGGGUGACGUCGGUAUGUCAGGCAGCAUCCGUUAAAAUUUUUUAAAAUAACAUUUUUUUAGGUGUUGCCGUCAUGUCAUUCAACAUCGGUGAUAUUUAAAAAAAAUCAUUGUAGAAAGAGUAGUUCAAAACUAUGGCCAUUGUUUUAAAAGAUUUGGAGCCGAUUACUGGGAGAUUUGAAUCGUAAAAGUCAAAGAGAAGGAGGAAAUCUCUUCUUUGGUGUCGAAAUUGGCACAAAAGGCCACUGUAAACGAUGACAUCGGUGGCUAUUGAGUACAGUGGCUAACGUUUUCAAUUGAAAAUAAGAAGUAAAAGAAAAAUAAAUAAAUAAAUAACAAAAAGGACAAGUGAGUGCGGUGGCUAGGGUUUUCAAUUGCGAAGAAGAAUAGAAAUUCGAAUGGGAAAGAAAAAGAAUAUAUGGAAAAUAGAGAAUCAAAUAUGGGAAGUGAAAGAGAAUAACAUAUAUGAAAAAUAGAGAUAUGAAAGGAAAUUUAAUAUUUUAUGGAAAAUAGAUAAUCAAAUAUGGGAAAGAAAAGAGAAUAACAAUUAUGUAAAAUAGAGAUAUGAAAGGAAAUUGAAUAUUUUAUGAAAAAUAGAGAAUUUGAUACUCUAUUCCCUUUCAUAUCUCUAUUUUACAUAGUUGUUAUCCUCUUUCAUUUUUCAUAUUUGACUUUUCCUCUCUCGUCUCUCUAUCUUUCUCUCAUAUCUCUUUCGCUCUUGUCCUUUUAUCUUUCUUUCAUAUAUUUUUUUUCUUACUCUUAUCUCAUCUAAGAUUGUUUUUUAAAUAAUAUUUUAUCCACUGAUGGCGACAUUGACAAGCUAAGAAAACAAAAACCACCUAUGAAGCACACAUCGGUCAUGGACUUCCCUCUUUUUUUUUUUGGUUUUUUUUUCUAUUUCAACUGUUUCUUUUCAACUUUUUUUUUCUAUUUCACCUUUUUUUUAUUAAAUUCUUACUGAUGCGUUUAACACACUAGUGACACAAAAGAAAUAACUUUUUUUUUAAUUUAUUGACUGGUGCCACUUGACAGACCGGCGACACCCAUUAAAAAAUAUUUUUCCCUCCUUGAAUACACGUAUUUUUAACAAGUAUUUUGAAAAAUACAGACUGAUGCCGCCAGAAACAAUGGCGACACUCAAAAAAAAAUUUAAAAAGGAGGUAAUGAUUGACUCAUAAUUGGGAGGCAGUGCUGCCGGUGUGUCAGGUGACACCAACGAAUUUUGUGGAGAACGAGUCAUUUUCGUACAAAAGUUUUAACUUAGGUUAUUUUCGUAAAUAAUUAAUUAUUUUAAGUGAGUUGGGUAAAAAAACAUUUUCCUUCAAUUGGGGUCCAUUGACCCAUUCUUCUGAUUCCUUUGACAUUUCUUUCUUAGGGCUAGUUUGGCAAUGCUUUUGAAAAGUGCUGUGGAAAAAUGCUUUUGAGAAGUACUUUUGAAGAAGUGCUUUUGAAAAAUUUAGUUUAAAAUUUGAGUGUUUAGCAUUGCCGUCAAAAAGUACUUUUGAGAAAUAAAAUGUCCAUUUUAGACAUGUUAUUAUCAAGAAAAUAUACAUUUAAAUAAUAUUUAAAUUAGUUAAUAUUAUUAUAUUUUAGUAAGAAUAUAAAAAAAUUAUUAUAACUUUUUGUUAAUAUUUUAAUAUAUAAAUAUAAAUUUUAAAUAUUUUUAAGCAAUAAAUAUUAAUUAUUUAUAAAAUUUAAUUAGAAUAUAUAAACUAUAUUUUAAAUAUUUAAAUAUAACUAUUAAAUAUUUGUAAUUAGUAUUUUAAAAAAUAUUUUUUAUUUUUAAUUAAUGAUUUUAACACAUUUGUAAUUAAGUACCAAGAAAAAAAAAGGGAAGUACUAUGUUAUUGGAGGGGUGAAAAAGUAAUUAAGCAUUUUGAGAGAGGAAAAGCUAAAAAUUUUAGUUUCUCCUUUCCAGGAGUGCUUUUGAAAAGCACUUCUGAAAAGUUAAAAAUUUCAGCCAAAAGUAGCUUGUUCUGCACAGCUUUUCUUCCAGAAGUGCUUUUGAAAAGCAAUGCAGAACUGCCCCUUAGUUGUUGGGGUCAUUUAUUUAGUCGGAUCACAAAUAUGCAAGUAAAGAAAACAGACUCGUUCAUUUUAUUUCAGUAGAACGCCUCACUCUUGUGUUGUUCAACUUUUUUAAUAUAUUUAUAUUUAAUAUGUAUAUUUUGUUAUAUAAUAAAAUUUCGGCUAAUAUCAGAUAUUUUCUAACAAAACUAUUAAGGUUCUAAUUUAAUCACUAGUUUUAAAAUGAUUUAAUUAAAAUUUUAAAGUAUUAAUAUUAUAUUAGUUUAAUUUUUCUUUCAAUUUAAUCGUUAAUUUAAGUAUUAAAUACUGAUUCGUAUAUGAUGUAGAGCAUAUAUAAAAUACAUUGAUUAAUUAUUUCACUUAUAUAUUUUAAAAGAGAAGUUCAAAAAUUAGAAAAUGGUUAAAUUGCAAAUAGGACCAUAGGCAUCGAACUUCAACAGAGCCUUGAUACAUUCGGGAAGAUCAUUACAAGCACACAAAAGAUAAUUAUAACAAAAGGUGCUAGAAUUCUGUAACUGUUCAAAACUGCUCCCUAAUCAAGCCAUCAUAUCAACACGUUGGUUUCCCUUCCUGUAGAUAUACGAAAGCGAGGUCUUCUCAAAUUUAGAUACGAGUAACCUGCAGUCAUUAACAAGUGCAACAAGGAAAAUAUUGUUAGUCUCAUGAUUUUGGAUAAGUUUAAUCACAAUCAGCAUCAAGUUUAAUCUCUAAAUUAAAAAUAUUCCGCUGCAAUGAUAAGGUAAGUACACCUUUGAGUGCCCACAGCUGAGUGUAGACGUUAGUAGCUGAUGGGAUGUUCCUAUAUGAUCCUUUUACCCAUUCUACUUUCUCAUUUCUGAUGAUUGUAGCAGUACCACUUUUCUCAGGAUUUGUUAAGUUUGAAGAAGCCCAUUGUAGGACCGCUCCAUUUGACCUGCACCAUCUAGGACAAAAUAGUGUCACUUAAAUUUAAGAAUAUUAUUUUUUAAAUAUGUGAUAUUGCAUUUAAUAUCUAAAUAGAUGACUAGGCUAAAAAAUCCCUAAAUUGAUAAUAUAUUAAUAUUUUGUAAAUUUAAAAUAUUUUAAAACUUAGGAGGAGUUUAAAAUUUUCAUCAUAAUUUUUAACUUAAUUAAAUCAAUAAAUUUUAAAUUUUAAACAUUUGUUUUUGUUAUAUAAACAUUUACAUUACACACUUAUCCGAAUUCAUUUAAUAGAUUGUUAGAAAUAAAAUCUAAUUUCCCUUAUUUGUGUGAGAAAAACAUGAAAAUUUUUAAAAUGAAUAAAUAAUUUAAAAUAGAAACACCCAGUACAGACAACGCAUUCAUGUAUUAAAAUAUAAUAUUCAUUAUUAAUAUAUAAAUAUAAAAUAAAAAUAUACAAUAAAAAACACACAAAUGUCCAAAUCUAAUUCAAACCUAAAAAUGUAUAAAAUUAUUGGUAUAAAAGAAUUAUUUAAAAAAUGGAAGUAAAAAAGAAUUUUUCAUCUCAUUUCUUCUUGCUUUUUUACUGUAUUUCACAUAAAUUUAAUGGUUAAAUCAUUAUUUGGGACCUGAACUUGGUAAAUUUUUUUGUAUUAGGGCCUCAAUAUAUUUUAGUUUAAGUUAGAUCUUAAAUUUAAUAAUUGUUUUUACAUUAGAGGUAAGACUAGACAAAUUUUUCUCAUAUUAGGGCUUGAACCUUUUUUUUUUGUCUAAGUUUUUCCUGAACUCGACAAUUGUUUUCAUAUUGGAGCCUAAACUUGACAAUAGUUCCUACAUUGGGGGAUAAACUUUAGGUUUUCAAGAACUAACUUAGACAAAAAAAAAAGUUCAAGAUCCAAUGGAAGAACAAUUGCCAUUUUUAGGCCUAACUUGGACCAAAAAAAAAGGUUUAAACCCUAAUAUGAAAAAAAUUAUCAAGUUUAAGUCUCAAUUUGUGAUUUAACCCUAAGUUUAAAAGAUGCCUAAAUUUGGAAAUAGCGAUUUUAUUAAAUGCUCAAUUUAGAGUUAAAUCCAUGAGGGGUUUAUCAUGUAAGGAUAAAACAUUUUUAAAUGAGCAAAUAAGAGCCAAACUUUUUUGAAUGUGUUCAAUAAAGGUUUUUCAUGCACUUCAUCUAAUUUGUAGCAUAAAAUUAAUAUUGUCGUGUUUAGAAUAUAACACAUGAUAAUUGAGUAAAAUAUACAACAUCUGAAAAAAUUUUAUUUGAGUACUCUUGAAAUAUUUAGCCCUUAUUUAAUAUUUUAAAAGAUUAUAUAUUUUAUGCAUCAUAAGAAGUCUUUAUACUACAAGGUUUUCCAAGCCAAGUACUUUUCUUAUGGUAAUAUCUUUGAGGCCAAGGUGAUUGAUAAGCCUUUUUAUGCUUGGACUAGAAUAUCACAAGCUAUUGAGGCUUUUUCCUCAAGUUAUUUUUAGAGAUUGAGAAAGGGUAAUUUAAUCCAACCUUUUCCAAAUAGACGAGGUGUCUACACCUUUGAAGAUUUUAUGAUCAUUAGAUGAUUAUGGAUAUGAAAGUUAAUAAUUUGAUGAAUAACAAUUCGACAUCUUAGGAUAUAGGCAUUAUGUGUUUUUUAUUUAAUGGAGACUUAACAUGUUACGUAUUAUAGUUGAUUAAAAAAAAUUCGUCUAUAACUUUCACAUAUUAGAGGCUAAUAAUAUUAUAAGCUCUUUUACUUUUUGGUAACUCAAUUCACAUCAUCUAACUAGAUGACUGUUUUGUGUGGAUAUUUUUAUUUUAAUUAUCUUAAUGUAAUCUAUAAUAAAAAUAUUUAAUAAACUAUCUUUUUUAUCUUAAAAAGUUAUUAUUUAACCUUAUUUAAUUAUUUUAAAAAAUUUUAUCCCAUAUCAAAAUUUCUCCUAGGAACUUUCAUUUUUACACCAAUUUUCAAUCCACAAGGGAAUAAAGAACCCGAGCUUAUUUAUUUAUUUUAUUUUUUUACAAUUACCACUCCAAACGGUUACCCGACCCGUUCUAACAUUUGAUCGCAUCAGAUACUUCAUAUCGCUAAAACCCUAAACCCUGCCUGCUGUUCUGAGGUUCUCAAAAGUUUUUCAAUUCUCCAUCUCCUUCAAAAAGUUUUCUUCCCAAUGGCUUCAAUUUGCAACAGAUUCAUCAGUAGAUCAUCACCCUUCAUCAAAUCCGCUGUUAGAUCUAACGGUCCAAAAUCCUCUUUUUCCAGAUCCGCCGCCGCUCCCUCCAUUUCCUCACCUCUCCCCUCCCCUUCCAUAUCUCCUCUUCGCCGUUUCUCCUCCAGGUACAGCAGUUUUUUUUUUUUUUUUGCUUUUGGUUUUCUAAAUUUCAUUUCUCUGUUUUCCUCACUUAUUUUUUCGUUUUAUAAAUAGAGCAUUACCAGUUCUUUAUUACUUAAAGUUCAACUAUUGUUCUUUUUAUGAUGGCAGGUGUCCAUCGGAGCUGGGAUCUGUGCAGUCACUGUUGCCGCUACACAGCGCAGUGGCAGUGGCGAGGAUGACUUCAUGCCUAAGCACAACAUCGAGGAGUUGCCGGGCUCUUUCUCAGGGUACACUCUGCUGCACCUAUCCCGGCCUCUAGUACUGUUUUAUCUGUUUUCUAUAGUGAGUUGCUUUUUUUUUCUUUUUGCUUCUCUUACUAUUAAUAUGAUAUUAUAUAUCUGCUAUUAUUUCAUCUUUUUUACUUUUGGUAUUGAAUUUUCUGUUUAAACUGAAUAAUUCUUUUUUCCUAGUUCAAUUGUUUCAGGAAUUAAGAUGUUAACAUAAGAAUUCUGUUUUUUUUUUCUUUAGCCUCGAAAAUGUUCUGUGUGUUAUAAUUGUGGUUGAACGCUUUAAGGUUAAUAGCAAGAUCAUAUUGAUCAAACAGAGCAAUUUCUAACUAACACUAACUCAAAUUAAUGUAUUUGAUCAAUGCCAUUUUUAUUUUUGAAUUCUUCAUAUUUCAUACUUUUUGAAAACGCUUUCCUUCAUCCCUGUAGAAGUAAGAAGCGAGUUGCAAAAUCUCUAUUUCUCUGUCUUUGAGCUGAGUAUUUGCAGUAGACUGUAGACCAUGCACUUAUCAAAAACCAAGGAAUAUUAUGUUUUUUCUAGAAAGUGAGUUAUUGGAAAGAUGCAUAAACUUGUAUCUUCAUAGCUGUUCAUUGAGUUAGUCAGUUAGGCGUAGAGGUAGCUUUCCUUCUAGGGUAUUUGACAAAUACUCACCUUGAAAUGGAUAGGCAAUUCAUGUACCCUUAUAAACAUGUUUUUAUCAAAUUCAGGCUUAUUAGUAAAAAAGAGGACUGCAAAGAUUAUAUGGAUAUAUUUUUAAGAUGCAAGAUUUCAUGAAUUGAAUGAUCUGGUCUCAGCUUAUAUUUUGGAUGCUACUUGGAUAUCAUAUCACAAAUGCUUUCCAUCUCUGAUCCUUAUAGUAGUUGGUUGAGGUUAAAGGUGGCAGUUCCUAUUGUAUAACAUAGCUAAUUAGAAGUAACUUUCAAAACUUUUGUUGCUCAAAACUUGUGGAGGCUAUCAGAUCGUUGAACUUGUCUUAUCUGAGCAAAACAAAAUAGGGUCUAUGAAAUGGGGCUGGCACUUUCAUAAUGUAUCUUAAAGAUAUCUGACCUGAAUAUUUGGUUCCUGCAGGCACAUAAGUUCAAUAAGAGAAAUAAAGUGGGAAUUUACAGUGACAGGCUCAUCCUCAUUCUCAAGUACGAAAUCAUGAGUGCUUUUUUAGUGAUCUUAAAAAUAUUUAAUUAUGUCAGGAUAGAACCUUAGUCUUACGUUUGUAUUUUUAUAAUCUAAAUCAGUUCCAUUUUUUAUACUCUUCCUAUUUUCUGCAAAGAAAAGCCUCUGUUAGACCUAACUCAUCGCUUUCUCUUGUCCUUGUGGGAAUGAACACUUACUCUUAUUCCCACAUUUUUGCAGUGAUUGGAUUGUUUCUUCCUGCCUUCCUGAUAAUUAGACUUGCUUAUGCUAUAUAGGGAAAGAUAUAACAUCAAGAUUUACAAGUAGCAUCUGCCACCCCACUGACCUCUUCCAUCCAGCUUUGUCCUACAAUUGCUUCAUUCUUUGCAAAUUCUUCUUUUCCCUAUCUGUUUAAACAUUAGGGUGGAUCGUUAACCUAUCCUCAAGUGUAGUAGAUACAUUUAGACCGAGUGAAUGCAUUCUAAAUAUUUCUGUAAUAGAGGUCAGGAUAUGGUUAAAUCACCUUUGUAGAAUCAUAUAUUUACUUAGAUUUAUUGCACUUAAAAGUGAUUCAUUAUGAGUGAUCUAGUCCAUGAUGGUAACAUAGCUGCUCCUUUUCCCAGAUGGAAUUGAUGGUACGUGAGACAUGUAGCUGUUUUCGGUGGUGGACCUGUCAUCUAUUCUUCAUUUGAGUUUUAUAGAUUGAACACUGUUGAAACUACUUUAGAUGAUCUAUUCAUAAUAACUAUUUGAAGUUUUGGUAUAUUUAUAAGUUUGUACAAACCUUCUGGAAAGUGUCCUUAGCUAUUCUAUUAACAUAAGUUCAAAACCAGAUUUCAUUAAUGCCAUUCAUAAAUAUUAUCUUAUUGAGAUUAGAUUGCUGCACUUGUUUGUUGAUUAGGAUUAAGUGAUAAUAUUAUCAUCAUCUCUGCUUUAUUUUCACAUUGUAGAAUGGUUUCUGCUGAUAACAUUCUGAUUGAGUGCAUUCUGUGUUGGCAUAGAGUUUGGUCAAUCGGUUCCGAGGUGACUUGUUAGGGAUCAUAUGAUAAUGAGGAGUGUUCAAAAUCAAUAUGAUGGAAGCAGCCAGCAAGGACAUGUAGAUUGUUAUUUGAAAACGAAGUGACAUUUCUAACAGCAGAAAAGCUGAUUUUGAUUCUUACAAGUAAUGAGAUUGUUUUCUCUAAAGUCUGAAAUAAGAAUUCUAUUGUUAUUUAACUUUAUUCUUAUAUGAUCCCAACAGACAUAACCAUCACAAUCAUCUAUCACUUUCCAAUUUACUUGCUUCUUGUGAUUCUUUCCCUCCUCUGCUGGCCGGCUGGCUGAUGCUAAUCUUCUUCAUCUCCAAGGGCAGGUCACUGUGAAAUUACAACAUUUUGCUAUUAAUACAUGUGAUGGUCCGGGUGUUUCUUUACUUCGUAUGACCACUGAGGUCAUGUUUUAUUUUUUUCUAUACAAUAUUGGGGGUGUGGGAAUGGGGAUGACAUGAUUCAAAAUCCGAGUCAAAUGGAUGUGUGACAAGAGCAUUAACCACUACUCAAUAAGAUCCGAUGUCAAGUCUUCAGAAAUUCAAAUUAUCAGUUUUCUGUCUGAUAAAAGCAAAACCGAAUGUUUAAACAUGCCAAUCAACAACGUAUAUGCCGUUUUCUAGGUAGAUUGGGAAACCAUCAAAAGCUUGUCAAAGUUAUAGUUUCACGUAAUUAUUAUAAAGCAUUGUAGUAAAAGAAAUUGUUGAAUGAAAUUUAAGGAAAUCCAAAUUAAUUCUUUAUUAUUUGUAAUACCAUGGCCUUUCCUACCUCUUUUAAUAUCUUCUCAUAUUUGCUUCACUGUUACUGUUUUUCAUACAGAAAAAGAAGAAAUUUCACAACCCAUUUUCUAUCAGAAAGUUGUUUUUAUUUGGGUAGUAAUCUAAUACGUAAGGAUAAAUCGGACACCAAAUAUCUUAUUAAGUUAAUAUUACAGAUCAAUUAUGCUCAAAUCAGUCAUGCAAUUAUUAAAAUACUCUUUCAUAUACAAAAUCAAUUAUAUAUUUUAUAAGAGGGUUUUCUUUUAAUAUAAUAAAAUUUACAUAAUAUUUUUCAUCUAUAUCAUAAAUUUAAUUGUUUUUAUAAGGAUUAUAAUCCACUUUGGAUAAAGAAUUGUUCAGCUUCAGUUUUCCAACAUUAUAUUAAAGUAAAACUUGGAUUGUAUUCAUAACUCCACUUUGUCGGUUUUUGACAACCUAUAAAUUUGGUUGGAAUUAUUAACGAAAAUUAAAACUGACUUUAGUUAUUUUCAUAAUUUUCUUCACUUACAACUUUGUUUUGCUUUCUUUUAGAAAGAGACAAAAAAGUGAAGAACAACAAAAAUGAUAAUAAUAAAUAUUAUUUUAUUCUAUCUCAUGUAUAUAUGUAAUAGACUUGGUUACAAUCUUACAUCAAAGCCUACUUUUAUAUUUUUCUAUACCAUUUUUUUAAUUUUAAUUUAGUAAUAUCAAUUUAGUUCAAGGGAAAAAAAAAAGAUGGCUAGUGUUCACUUGUUGUGUAGCUUGACAAAUUGAAUGUGGACCUUUCCUUCCAUUUUCCUAGAAAAUUUUUCUCUAAUAUAGUCAACAUACUUGAUGUUUCUAUACAAUCUGGGAUGAUUUUGGUCAUCUAUCAUUGCUUCAAGUGGACCAAUUUCUUGCUCAUCAUCUGGAAACAUGAAGGUUGCAAUUGAUAUUCUUGCUUUCUUCUCAUUUGUUAUGACUCUAUGUUCAAUGCUUUUAUACAUUCCAUUGCUUUGAAUCUGAACCAAAAUAAAAAAAUAAAAAGGUUAUGGAGUUGAACUCCAGUGAACCGAAUUGGAAUAUCGAAAUUAAGAAUGAUGACGUAUAUAUAUUACCUCAGUGGCAUCAUCAAUGUUGAGGACAAGUGAAUUUGGGAUAGGUUUAACAGGGAUCCAACCUGCAUUGUGCUUGAUUUAGAGAGCAGUACUGACAUCAUCAUCUUGCAGCAACAAAGUGAAACUUGUGCCAUCUGAGUGAGGGCUAACCCCAAGAACAAGAUGGGGCCUUGAACAUGUUGGGUAAUAAUUAAUUCUUAUGCCCUGUUUAAGUUCCCCUUGUGAACUUUUCAACUCAUCUCUUUUUAACCCCAUUAAAACUGAAAGGUUUGCUUGGAUUUCCUCACCUAUCUUUUGCAUUUCUCUCGAGUAUUCUUCCAGUGCUUCUCUACAAUCCAUAGGAAAAUCAACACGACAUAAGAUUUGUUACAAGUAUGUAAUACUUGAAAUGAUAUAGACACACGAAUUAUCAAUCCUUUCGGGGAUCUACAUGGGAUUGUUACAUACUUGAAACCUGGUAAAGAGAGGGGCCAAAACUUGAAGUUCCUGUUUUGAGAAGGGAGAGUGCUUAAAUAAAUCAUGUCAGACCAAUCAAGCUUUUCGUGCUGAGAGACUCCAAAGUUUUGCCCAUAUCCUUCAAUUUCAUUUUCUGCCUUGCCAUAUUUCUUUUUCUCUUCAAUUGGCAGUUCAAAAGAAAGCUGCUACUACGGCUUUCAUCUUCCUCAGGAUCUCCUCUUUCACCCCAUGAUUUAUUAUCUGUGUUUAAAAUUACUUUCCGUUUGAAUUGGUAACCCAAGUGGAGAUAAAAUAUAUAUAUAAGUAGAGAUAUGGGAUUUACCUGGAAAAAACCCCAGUCCUUGCAAGCAAGGUGUAGUUUAUGGACUUCAUCUUCAUCACCUUUGGCUAGAAAAGAGAAAUCUAUGACAGGAAUUUGAAGUGAAUUAGCCGAAUCCUGAGAAACAAUAGGACCAUCCUUAUUAUUUUCAUGAACGUAUCUUUCAGGAACUGAUUGAGAAUCGCUUCUCACAAUCUCUUGGACGCUUGGUACUGGCGAUGAUUUUACCCAACCCAAAUUUUCAACUCUCCCAUCCAUUUUUUUUUUAUAGUUUCUUAAUAUUGGGGUUCAGCUACUUUACGAACUAAAUAGUUACUUAAUGAACAAAAUAAGCAAACCUCAAUCUUGUUCUGAGUUUCUCAUGCUUGUUUUUAAUUUCGACUCUUACUUAUUUUGAUUUUAUUUUUUAUUUAUUUUCAAUCUCAAUUUUUUUUUUAUUCUUGUUGUUAUUAUUAGUAUUUUAGUUACCACUAACAGUACGUUUGGUUCACUGUAAUGGAAUAUGACUGUAAUUGAAUAGAGCUGUAAUGAAAUAAAGCUGUAGUGAAAUAGAGCUGUAAUAAGUAAUUCAACUGUUUGGUUGAAUAGAAUGCAAUAAAACUGUAAUAGUAUUCUUGUGUUCGGUUGAAUGGAAUGAUGUUGUAAUAGCAUAAGGAAAAAAAUUAAAAUGACCAGAAUAGUCUAAGCAGAAUUUUUUUAAAGUAGAUGAUUAUUGUUAUUGUUAUUAAAUUUUAAUAAGAUUAUUAUUGAAAAUGAUUUAAUAAAAAAAUAUAAUUUAAUAACAUUAUUAAUAUAAUUGUUAUUAUAUGAAUUGAAAAAUCAAAAUAUAUAAUACUAUAAAAAUAUACAUAAUCUACUUUAUUAUUUUUAAACUACAAUACAUAUUUAAUGUGCUAAAAUAUCAUUACUAAAACAAAUAAUUUAAUUAUUCUAUAAUAAAAAAUAAUUAAAUAUUAAAAGUAAUAAAUAACUCAUUGCUAAAAAAAUAAUAAAUAAAUUGAGAAUUAUAUUUCACAUCCAAGCAUAAUAUUCAUAUAUUAACAAAAAGUUAUAUGAUUUCAUUAGUUUUUAUGUCAUAAUCCAUAUGUUUUAAAAUUUUACAUCAAAAAGUUACAACAUUGUAAUGACAUUCUAUCAUGUCAUUAUACCAUCCAAAUAUUACAAACACAAAAAGUUAUCAAAAUAUCAAUACAACCAUGAUUUGUAAUGGUCAGGCUUAAAUUUGCCCGAUGCCCAUGACUCAAAACCAAAAAACAAAAUUUUAAACCAAAAUAAACAGCCCAAUAACAAAUACAGCCCAAACUAUCAAUCUAAUGCAAAAAAAUAUCAGCAGAACCCUAGGAACGUUCAGCCACCGCCCCACGCCUCUUCGUCUGCUCGCACGUUGCUCCAUCAGUCGCCCUCCACGCGUCGUCUGACAUCUGAAACAAGCACAAUAGCAGAGAAAGAAGCAUGCGAGCGCAGAGAAAUAAAGAGCAAAAAAACAAAAAAAUAAAUAAAAGGGAAUCAACUGUAAAUGGCUUUAAAAGCCCGGAUCUACUCUCCUGUAAGUUUUUAGAGACAUUUACAAGCAAGAUUAAUCAAAAAGAACAGAAGUUUCGAAAGGUGGAUUUCUUUUUAUCUAUUUUCGUCUCUGCCUCUUUCAUUUUUAUUUUUAUUUUUUUAUUUUUUCUAACAAAAAAUCUUUCAAAAUAAAGAAGGAAGAAAUAAACUUACCUGAGUAGCCUCACGUCCUCCGUCGUCGUGGUUGUUUCACCGGCGCCGAGGGCCUCACAGCUUUUUUAAGGCUGGCUACAAGGACCAAAGUCCUAUUUAUUCGUCUUUUUGUCACAAAUAAAGGACUAGACCUUUAGAUCUGGUCUGAACGGGACUAAAAGAACCGUUUUGCGACUCACCGACCACCAUCUACGAUGGAGGAGCGGCGGUCCGGCGAGGAUGGGCAUAUUACCAUAGCCAAAUGGGAAAAUUAGAAAAGGGAGAGAGAGGGAAGGAAUGCUCUCUGUUGUUUUUUUUAAAACACUAAGAAAAAAUGAAACAAACAAAAAUUUGGGGCCUUUUAUCAGGCUACAAAACGGUGCCGUUUAGAAAGGGGGGGUCCGCAUGUUUCCCUUAAAUGGGAAAUUACCCACUUUGGUCCCUCCCCCUUUUCUAAUAUUCGAUUUAGUCCCUAUUUCUUUUUUUUUCUUUUUAAAUCUAGCCCGAUUAUUUUAUCCCCUCUCUGAUUUGGUCCCUGAUCUGGGUUAAUGAAACGCGGCGUAUAGACUUGGGACAUUACUACAGUUGGUCCUCGCAAGUCUCAGCGCGUUUCAAUUUAAUCCCUGGUGGCCCCCUUUUUUAUUAUUUCAAAUUUAUACCCUGAAAUUUUGAUUUGUUUUUAUCUAUAUCCUAAAUCCAUUUAAUUUAUUCUCUUCACAUCUAUCUUAAUUUGUUUAAUAUACUGUUUGUUCAUAUCAUUAUUGUUUGUUGUAACUCAUUUUAAUAUGUUGUUUAUUCUAAAUAUUACUUUACCUCAAC
rnacentral:lncRNA from 1 species